rnacentral:lncRNA from 1 species
AGUUUUCGGGUAGGAGACAUUUUAACUAAUAGUUGUGAUUUUAUGUUUAAAUCCUGAAUGUGAACCUGUGGUGAAUGGUGUAUGGAUAUAUAUAAAUGUUUGAAUGUUUGUAUGUUCAGUGUGUGGUUGUAUGGUUGUUAUGUACCUUGUAUUCGUGCGACGCCGUGCAAAUACAGGGGAGACUCUGUCCGUGUGAAUAGUU